AGGCUCAAAGGAUUCAAAUACUUGCCCAAGGUCCCAGGUUCGUUUGAUUGACAGAGCAUGAGUACCCUCCUAAAUGCCCCUUGAGGUCUCUAUAUUUAGGAGGAAGCAGCUUCAGAACUCUAGCUCCCCACCCCAGGUCCAUUCCAGUUUAGAAACUCCACAGCCACCUCAACAGCAGGAACAAAGGUGGGUCUCUGUCCUGCCUCUGGGGCCAGGCUGGCUGAUGGCUUCAGGCCCAACCAAAAGAUCCCUUCCACCCACCCGACUCUAGCAACACCCACAUCACCAACCCUGGGCCUCCCACCAGAGCCUCCACCUUCUAGGAAGUCACCCUCCCUCCUGCAAGAUGCUGGUGGCUGAGACUGGAGGGACCCUUUCAAUUUCAGGAUAAACAAACUGUCGUUCUGGCCCAGCCCUCUGCCGGCUUGCUGCUUCCCGCCCCCCUCCAUCCGCAGUGCACAGUCGCUCUGUUCUCCUGCCAACUUGGCAGCUCAUCGCUGCUGUUACUAUCAACACCUCCAAGGGAAAAGGGAGAGGAGUCAGCUCUGAUCGCCUGGCGCACUGUGCAGCAAAUUCAUGUCAGAGCCAGCCUUGGAAUGUCUCCCAAGCUCCCAAGGCUCCUGGAGCCUUUCUCCCAGAUGUGAAACUGAUCCUAAGACCCCCUGUAAUUUCCUGCUGAAAAUCUCCACCAAGAAACACAGCCACAGCCACAGUUCUUCCUGGUAAGAAGCCCCCAGGGCCAGGCAACAAGAAAAGUGAGCUCGUUCAGCAGGCUGGGAUGUAAAUAAGCCACAAGAGGCUGUGCCAUUCUGGGUUGCACCUGUGAGCAUCACUCAGCUGAAGCCCCAUCAGCGUUUCCAUGACAAACUCGUAUUUCCGGAUGCCUUUCUUCCAGCUUGAAGAGCCUGCCUCGUGGUUGUGAAAAGUGAAAAAGAAAAUCUAAAAAAGACAAAUGGAGAAGGAACAGCUAGUGAAGUCAGAGGAAGAUUGGAAGACCCUGGUGUCCUGGAAGCAACUGAAGAAAGUGUUUCAAGAAGAAAGGAGUGAUCACAUGACUUAAAAUGCCACCGAUGGGUCAAAUAAGAACAGAGAAUUGACCAUGGAAUCUGUCAACACAGAAGUCAUCAGUGGCCUUGAUAAAUGUAGUUUCACUGCCAUGAUGAGAGAGUGGAUAAUUGCUGGAG
rnacentral:lncRNA from 10 species